rnacentral:rRNA from 1 species
GACGAACGCUGGCGGCGUGCUUAACACAUGCAAGUCGAGCGAGGCUCUCCCUUCGGGGGGAUGUCCUAGCGGCGAACGGGUGAGUAACACGUGGGCAACCUGCCCUCAGCUCUGGGAUAACUCCAAGAAAUUGGGGCUAAUACCGGAUAUGACUGCUGACCGCAUGGUCUGGUGGUGGAAAGAUUUAUCGGCUGGGGAUGGGCCCGCGGCCUAUCAGCUUGUUGGGGGGUAGUGGCCUACCAAGGCGACGACGGGUAGCCGGCCUGAGAGGGUGACCGGCCACACUGGGACUGAGACACGGCCCAGACUCCUACGGGAGGCAGCAGUGGGGAAUAUUGCGCAAUGGGCGGAAGCCUGACGCAGCGACGCCGCGUGGGGAUGACGGCC